rnacentral:tRNA from 1 species
GGCGCUGUUGCUCAAUGACAGAGCACUUGCCUAGCAUGUGCAAGGCUCUGGGUUUGAUACCCAGCACCACCA